CCUGAAAGAGUCGUGGAAUUCGUUCCAUUAAAAAAUACCGCAGACUAAAGGUACAUGCAGCAGUGGAGGGAAUCGGGAACUUUUCACACUAUCCCCGAAUUCAAAGGCAUUGACACAGGGCCGCACAGCAGACUUGGGAGUAAAGUUAGAGUCGGUGGAAUUGUGGACAGGAGCAGCCCUGGAUACAAAAUUGGCUGAGUGACCGGAAACAGGGACUGUCAUAGUUAAUGGAUGUCUUUCAGGCUGGAGAAAGAACUUGGAAUCCCAGAUAAAUUUAUUUCUCAAACACAUCUUCCUCCAAAGAAAGAGGAAGUCAGGAUGAUGAGAAGAGGAUCGGUAGCUUUGGAUAUCAAAAGCAGCAAGGCAAAGCUGCUCCGUUCAAUAAAGGAGAAACGUACCACCACACAGGAACAGGAG